rnacentral:rRNA from 1 species
UACGUAGGGGGCGAGCGUUGUCCGGAUUUAUUGGGCGUAAAGAGCGUGUAGGCGGCCAGGUAGGUCUGCUGUGAAAACUCGAGGCUCAACCUCGAGACGUCGGCGGAAACCAUCUGGCUAGAGUCCGGAAGAGGAGAGUGGAAUUCCUGGUGUAGCGGUGAAAUGCGCAGAUAUCAGGAGGAACACCAGCGGCGAAGGCGGCGCUCUGGGCCGGAACUGACGCUGAGGAGCGAAAGCGUGGGGAGCGAACAGG